UUUUUGAUGAAGUUUUACAAGCAUUUCUACCUAAUAACAAAUUCCUCUGAACAGAAUCUGUAAAAUAAAGAGUUUUCAAGAAAUUGCAUGCAGUGUAAUGAGGAUUUGGAGGCUUGUUGCAGGCUAAUAGUUGCAGGUUCAGCUGAGAAAAAGUCAGGGGUCUCCACAACAGUCGCCUUUCUCCCAGCCACCUCCACCUCCAUGCUCUCAUUCUCCUGGUUUGCAGUGAAAUCAGCUGAAGAUGCAUCAGCCUGGUUCAUCUUCUCUCCCGCAGGGACAAUGUUUUUUGAUGGACUUUUCCAAGCGUCAUUUCUCCCUAAUACCAAAACAUGGGGAUUGGGGGCUUCAUAAUAGUUGCCGGUAUGGACAUCUUAAACUACAAAUUUACAUUCAUGGACAUUAAUAAUGUUUUUAUUAACUUCAGCAUAGAUUUAUAAAAUAAAUCACAGAAUUAUGAAUAUGAUCUCUAUAUUAACACUUCAGACGAAUGUUAAUGACAUUAUAGAUUAACCCUUUUGUCAUGCUUUUAAAUUUUGGAUUAAACAUGUAUAGGUCACCUGACCAGUCAAACAGAAUUCUAUACAUUUAAAUAAAGUUGUAUUGUAACUGCACAAAAUAUAAUAAAUAAAUAAAUAAAUAAAUAAAUAAAUAAAUAAAUAUCAUGGGAAAACCACUGCA